rnacentral:rRNA from 1 species
AGAGUUUGAUCCUGGCUCAGAGCGAACGCUGGCGGCGUGCUUAACACAUGCAAGUCGAGUGCGCAGUCUGCUGUAGCAAUACAGUAGAUCGGCGCACGGCACACGGGUGCGUAACACGUGGGCAACCUGCCCUCCAAAGGGGGAUAACCCGCCGAAAGGCGGGCUAAUACCGCAUGACAUUCCGGUAGCUUCGGCCGCCGGAAUCAAAGCCCGUAAGGGCGUUGGAGGAGGGGCCCGCGCCCGAUUAGCUUGUUGGCGAGGUAACGGCUCACCAAGGCUUUGAUCGGUAGCCGGUCUGAGAGGAUGGCCGGCCACACUGGAACUGAGACACGGUCCAGACUCCUACGGGAGGCAGCAGUGGGGAAUCUUGCGCAAUGGGCGAAAGCCUGACGCAGCGACGCCGCGUGGGGGAUGAAGCUUCUCGGAGUGUAAACCCCUUUCGACCCGGACGAAACGCCCGCAAGGGCUUGACGGUACGGGUAUAAGAAGCCCCGGCUAACUACGUGCCAGCAGCCGCGGUAAGACGUANGGGGCCAGCGUUGCUCGGAAUUACUGGGCGUUAAAGGGUUCGU